rnacentral:rRNA from 1 species
AGAGUUUGAUCCUGGCUCAGAACGAACGCUGGCGGCAGUAACACAUGCAAGUCGAACGCACCUUCGGGUGAGUGGCAGACGGGUGAGUAACGCGUGGGAACGUGCCCUUCAGUUCGGAAUAACCCAGGGAAACUUGGGCUAAUACCGGAUACGUGCGAGAGCAGAAAGAUUUAUCGCUGAAGGAUCGGCCCGCGUCUGAUUAGCUAGUUGGUGGGGUAAUGGCCCACCAAGGCGACGAUCAGUAGCUGGUCUGAGAGGAUGAUCAGCCACAUUGGGACUGAGACACGGCCCAAACUCCUACGGGAGGCAGCAGUGGGGAAUAUUGGACAAUGGGCGCAAGCCUGAUCCAGCCAUGCCGCGUGAGUGAUGAAGGCCUUAGGGUUGUAAAGCUCUUUCGGCGGGGACGAUAAUGACGGUACCCGCAGAAGAAGCCCCGGCUAACUUCGUGCCAGCAGCCGCGGUAAUACGAAGGGGGCUAGCGUUGUUCGGAAUCACUGGGCGUAAAGGGCGCGUAGGCGGCUUGAUAAGUCGGGGGUGAAAGCCUGUGGCUCAACCACAGAAUUGCCUUCGAUACUGUCUGGCUUGAGACCGGAAGAGGUAAGUGGAACUGCGAGUGUAGAGGUGAAAUUCGUAGAUAUUCGCAAGAACACCAGUGGCGAAGGCGGCUUACUGGUCCGGUUCUGNNGCUGAGGCGCGAAAGCGUGGGGAGAAACAGGAUUAGAUACCCUAGUAGUCC